ACAACAUCACAAAUUAGUUACAGCUUUCUCGUUCGUCUUCGUAUGUGUAGUUUUAUACAUAUUCAGAACGCAGAAGCUCCUCCAUAAAAGUCUGCAGCUCAUAUCCUCAGUGUUAUGUCACUUCAAAUUUCCAACAUCACCUGAAAGUCUAGAUCCAAAAUACACCGCCCACGUUGCAUUCGCCGCUUCUACCCUUCGCUUUUCCCAGCUGCAAUCGCCGGUCCCGCCACUGCAUUCUCAGUUGCCACCGCCGUCACCGUAGCUUCCAGUUAAAUCUAUGGAUAGUGCUUCAGACCAAAAAGAAGAAGAGAAAGAAUUAUAUUGGGAAAAAAAACCCGGUCUUUGAUGCAAGACUUCAGUAUUUCUCUUAUCUUGACCCAAAUAAGCAUUCCCGAGAGCUACUUGUCUGGCUAGAAAAUUUCUAGAUUAGGAGUAUUUUUUUUUUGCCCCUUUUUGGUCUGUCUUCGGUUUUAGGAUAGUGCUUUCAUUUGGGUUGUAUUUUAUGUCACACCACCCAUAUCAGGUGGCAAUGUCUUAGCCGGCAAAGCAAUGGAAAUGCAUCCAAUUGAUCAACUUCAAUGCCAGCCGUCCCAUCUUGGGUGGCUAGUGCUUUCAUUUGGGAAGGAGGAAGAAGUUAAAGGAGGACAUCUUCCCUUUUCUAUUGGACAGUUGGAUGAGAGUAACUCAAUGCUACUGCUGGUGAUGGAUGAGAACCGAGUUCUAUAUCCAUGCUACAGAAUUUUGGUUCACAGGCUGUGUUUUUUUUUUUUCUUUAAAUAAGAAAUUAGCACGAUUGGUUUUGAAUUCGAAAGUAAUGAAUUCGUGUUUCAACUAUUUUUAAGGGCGAAAACAUUUGCUUUAAUUGGUUAUUGAUCGUUGAGCUGAAUUUUAGGGAAUUGUGGUGUUGCACCUUGGUGCUGUGCCCUUUCUAAUGGUGGAUCUGUUCGGGCCUGAGGAUGGAGGCUGUACUUUUUCCUUAUUUUUUUAAUCCUGUUUUUGGUUUUCCAUUAUGCUGACAUAAAUGACCACAGAAAAUAUAUCAGGUGACUUUCACUUGGUAUUUUCUGUGUGCUUAAUCGCCUGAUAAUGGGCGUAAUAGUGUAACAUGUACACCUUUAAGAUUUUGAUGGUAAUUGGAGAUAUUUAAUAGUUUAGCUGCCAAAAAUUUACUAGAUUAAUAGUUUAGUGGUCGUUUUAGUGUAUUUUCCUAAGCUUUUUCUGUGGAUAAAUAACAGGAAGCAGUUUGUUUCAUUGGCAACAUAUAGGUUCUGGUCUGUAUCUUAGGCAUUUAUGAGACUAAUAUAUGAUUUUAACUUGUUCUUUCUUCAAGUAUACGCAUUGUCCAUCUUUCCCGACUUGACUUCUCCUCAGCCAUUUACAAUUUUCUCUUAUCAGGAAGUGAAAUUGGAAUGGGGCAAGGGGUUGGCUGAGAAACGAGACGCUGAAGCAAGGAUGCAGGAAUUAGAAGCUGAGAAAGACGAACUGUUUGCAAGAAGCAGAGAUGACCCCCGAACUUGAUAGAACGCUCAAGGAAAGAGUUAGAUGGGGUGAUCGGUCCUAUGGCACAUUUGGUCAAGGCAGUUUUCUGAUUAAGUUCUGCUGUUUAAUGGACUGGCCCCAAAGAAAUUCUUUUGUGUGAACUCAUCAUUUACCAUGUUGCAGUUGCUAGAGUUAUUCGUUAAAUUUAGUCCCAGUAAUUAUUUUGGGUGGUUUAUGAUCAAAUGUUUGAUCUUGUGCAUCUACUGGGGUUUGAGAAACAAAUGUUCAAUAGAAUGAAAUGAGAAACAAGCUACAGAGAGGGAGGCGUGUUUGUGCUCUGCGUCAGACAUGCGAGGAGUAGUAACCAGUAUCAUACGACACCUGGUGACGGGUUGAAACUACAGAAAAGACGAGGACAAGGGAUUUAUCAGUGGAAAACCAACGGAGGGUUGCCUUGCCUGUCGCCUGCUUCAUUGACGGCCACGAAUGAGAUUAGACCUGGGGAAUGGCAACUUUGUCUUGUAUCCUAUUCAUGCUAUUGCUUGCAGCUCUCUGCUGCAGAAUUUUUAUUCACUGCUAAUACUACUUUUUCUUUUCUUUUU